rnacentral:rRNA from 1 species
AUUGAACGCUGGCGGCAUGCCUUACACAUGCAAGUCGAACGGCAGCGGACCUUCGGGUGCCGGCGAGUGGCGAACGGGUGAGUAAUAUAUCGGAACGUACCUUUCAGUGGGGGAUAACGUAGCGAAAGUUACGCUAAUACCGCAUAUUCUGUGAGCAGGAAAGCAGGGGAUCGCAAGACCUUGCGCUGAUUGAGCGGCCGAUAUCAGAUUAGCUAGUUGGUGAGGUAAAGGCUCACCAAGGCGACGAUCUGUAGCGGGUCUGAGAGGAUGCUCCGCCACACUGGAACUGAGACACGGUCCAGACUCCUACGGGAGGCAGCAGUGGGGAAUUUUGGACAAUGGGCGCAAGCCUGAUCCAGCAAUGCCGCGUGCAGGAUGAAGGCCUUCGGGUUGUAAACUGCUUUUGUACGGAACGAAACGGUUCUCUCUAAUACAGGGGGCUAAUGACGGUACCGUAAGAAUAAGCACCGGCUAACUACGUG